rnacentral:lncRNA from 1 species
CUUUUGGGUAGUAAUUGUGUUGGCUUUGGAUUGUUUAUGUUUGGCGUGUGUCUUUCUGGGUGGUAACCGGCUUGGUUUGCUGCAUAAAUUUAAAUUGUGGAUGUUAGUUAUGGGGCAAAUCUCCAAAAUAGCACAUUUCUAAGUUUAAAUCACAAAAAUAGCACUAAAAACUAAAAUGACCAAAAUAGCAUUUAACUCUAAACCCUAAACCCUAAACUCUAAACCCUAAACCCUAAAUCCU